rnacentral:rRNA from 1 species
AUUGAACGCUGGCGGCAGGCCUAACACAUGCAAGUCGAGCGGAUGAAGGCUGCUUGCUUCUGGAUUCAGCGUCGGACGGGGGAGUAAUGCCUAGGAAUCUGCCUGGUAUUGGGUUAUAACGUCCUGAAACGGGCGCUAAUACCGCAUACUUCCUGAUGGAGAUAGUUGGUGAUCUUUGGACCUCACGCUAUCAGAUGAGCCUAGGUGGGAUUAGCUAGUUGGUGGGUUAAAUGCCUACCAAGGCGACGAUCCGUAACUGGUCUGAGAGGCUGAUCAGUCACCUGGGAACGGAGACACGGUCAAGACUACUACGAGACGCAGCAGUGGGGAAUAGUGGACAGCGGGCGAGAGCAUGAUACAGCCAUGCCGCGUGUGUGAAGACGGUCUUCGGAUUGUAAAGAACUUCAAGUUGGGAGGAAGCGCAGUAAGUUAAUACCUUGCUGUUUUGACGUUACCAACAGAAUAAGCACCGGCUAACUUCGUG